ensembl:snRNA U6 U6 spliceosomal RNA
AUGCUGACACUCGCUUCGGCAACAUAUAUACUAAAAUUGGAAUGAUACAGAGAAGAUUAGCUUGGUCCCUGUGUGUUUUGUGGUUUGAAAAAAAAUCUGUUCCUGUAUUU